GUUUUUUCGCUGCACCAAAGAAAUCCGCCACAGAGAAGCCAAAGGAUAAGUUCAAGAAUCUGAGCAGUGAUCAGGGUCAGACAAAACCCCGAAACACAACUAGCUUGAACUCGAGAAUCAGACCAGAUGGAUCCCGGGACAAAGGAACAGACAAAGCAGAAUCAGAUUCAGUAGCUUGUGCCAGGAUCCAACCAAAAUUUUCUAUUAGAGAAACUGAUACUAAUGCUUGUGGAAGAGGAUUACCUUCAAGAAUGGUGAAACAGCCACCACAUUGGUACACAGGAGAUUGAACAAGCAAAGCAUAUCAUUCUGUAGCCAGAAAAUGAAGGUCAACGAGGGGGCAUAACUGUGCGAUAACUAAACUCGAUUCAAAAGGUAAGAAAAAAUAAACAAUUUUUUUUUUUGUGAUUCAUUGGUAACGGAAAGAUCUGGGAAUUGUACCUGAACUCGGAUGUUUCUGAGUUCGAGAGGCCGGGUCGCGAUCUGGGUUGAGCGCAAAUGGAGAAGAUAACAGAGACCAGAGCAAAUUAUAAUUAUGAAUAAACCAUAAAGACACCAGCCACGAGACGAGCACAACUCAUACCUGUCGGAUCCAGAAGAAGAAGAAGAAGAAGAAGAAGAGAACUCUUUACGAAAUCUCGAAACUCAAGAGAGAGAAUGAAGUAGACCCAGAAGAGAGAGAGAGAGAGAGAGAGAGAGAGAGAGAGAGAGAGAGAGAGAGAAUUCUUGUCGUGGGCAAGAAGAAGAAGAGAAGAUCUUGGGACGAAGAGAGAGAAGAAACCAAAUUUGGACAGGUUUGGAUGUGUUGUGUUGUUUCUUCUUAUUUUCCAUGGGAGAAAAGUCUCUUGUUUUCCGUGAAGAGUAAGCUUUUUUCCUCUCAUUUUUUUUUUCUCUUUUUUUUUUCUUCUGGAUUUUGUAGUUUUCAGAUCUCUUAGUAGAAAAACCUAUUUCUUGUUU